rnacentral:rRNA from 1 species
UACGUAGGGACCAAGCGUUGUUCGGAUUUACUGGGCGUAAAGGGCGCGUAGGCGGCGCGGUGCGUCACUUGUGAAAUCUCUGAGCUUAACUCAGAACGGCCAAGUGAUACUGCAGUGCUAGAGUGUGGAAGGGGCAAUCGGAAUUCUUGGUGUAGCGGUGAAAUGCGUAGAUAUCAAGAGGAACACCUGAGGUGAAGACGGGUUGCUGGGCCAACACUGACGCUGAUGCGCGAAAGCCAGGGGAGCAAACGGG